ACUCAAAUGAAUAGACGGGGGCCCGCACAAGCGGUGGAGCAUGUGGAUUAAUUCGAUGCAACGCGAAGAACCUUACCAAGGCUUGACAUGUGAGUGACAGGUGUAGAGAUACACCCUUCUUCGGACACUCAACACAGGUGGUGCAUGGUUGUCGUCAGCUCGUGUCGUGAGAUGUUGGGUUAAGUCCCGCAACGAGCGCAACCCUUAUCUUUAUUUUCUAACGGGUAAUGCCGAGCACAAUAGAGAGACUGCCGUGGAUAACACGGAGGAAGGUGGGGAUGAUGUCAAAUCAUCAUGCCCCUUACGCCUUGGGCUUCACACGUGCUACAAUGGUCUCUACAAAGUGAUGCAAUACUGCGAAGUGGAGCGAACCACAAAAAGAGACCCCAGUUCGGAUUGCAGGCUGCAACUCGCCUGCAUGAAGUUGGAAUCGCUAGUAAUCGCGAAUCAGCAUGUCGCGGUGAAUACGUUCCCGGGCCUUGUACACACCGCCCGU
rnacentral:rRNA from 1 species